CCUUAUCGGGCAGGGAGACAGUGUCAGGUGGGCAGUUUGACUGGGGCGUCGCCUCCUAAAAUGUAACGGAGGCGCCCAAAGGUUCCCUCAGAAUGGUUGGAAAUCAUUCGCAGAGUGUAAAGGCACAAGGGAGCUUGACUGCGAGACCUACAAGUCGACAGGGACGAAGUCGGGCUUAGUGAUCCGGUGGUUCCGCAUGGAAGGGCCAUCGCUCAACGGAUAAAAGCUACCCCGGGGAUAACAGGCUUAUCUCCCCCAAGAGUCCACAUCGACGGGGAGGUUUGGCACCUCGAUGUCGGCUCAUCGCAUCCUGGGGCUGUAGUCGGUCCCAAGGGUUGGGCUGUUCGCCCAUUAAAGCGGUACGCGAGCUGGGUUCAGAACGUCGUGAGACAGUUCGGUCCCUAUCCGUCGCGGGCGCAGGAAAUUUGAGAGGAGCUGUCCUUAGUACGAGAGGACCGGGAUGGACGCACCGCUGGUGUACCAGUUGUUCUGCCAAGGGCAUCGCUGGGUAGCUAUGUGCGGACGGGAUAAGUGCUGAAAGCAUCUAAGCAUGAAGCCCCCCUCAAGAUGAGAUUUCCCAUUCCGCAAGGAAGUAAGAUCCCUGAAAGAUGAUCAGGUUGAUAGGUCUGAGGUGGAAGCGUGGUGACACGUGGAGCUGACAGAUACUAAUAGAUCGAGGACUUAACCUAU
rnacentral:rRNA from 2 species